AGUUUCUGGUUUGACCACCAGCUGCAUUAAGUACUGCAGUGCAUCACCUCCCCAUGUACUGCACCAGACUGGCCAGUUCUUGCGGUU